AUGGCGAGGGUUCCUCACGCCAACGGAAACCCCAAACUUCUGCGCUGGCUCAGCGGAGGCCGCUUUUAUAGUCACUCGCCUUUGCCAUGCAGCGCAGGCGCGCUGGAGCCCGGACCGCGCUCGCCGAGCCUGCAGGUUCCCGACUUCCGGUUCCGAGGCGACCCCGAGGCCAGACUGAGACUAAUGGCGGCGCCCAUGAAGCAAGCCACCGGGGGCGUUGAAGAGACUGCGGCGGAAGAGGAACCGCGAGUUCUGGAACCCGGGGCCGCCCCAUUCGGAAAUUUCCCUCAUUAUUCCCGCUUCCACCCUCCAGAGCAACGGCUCCGCCUCCUGCCUCCAGAGCUGCUUCGCCGGCUCUUCCCUCAGAGUCCAGAGACAAGGCCGAUCCUGGGGCUCGACGUGGGGUGUAACUCCGGGGAUCUGAGUGUGGCUCUAUACAAACAUUUCCUUUCCCUACAUGAUGGGGAGACCUGCUCAGAUGCCUCAAGAGAGCUCCAUCUCCUCUGCUGCGACAUAGAUCCAGUCCUGGUGGAACGAGCUGAAAAAGAAUGCCCUUUUCCUGAUGGCUUGACCUUUAUCACCCUGGACUUCAUGAAUCACAGGACCCGGAAAGUUCUCUUGAGCUCUUUCUUAAGCCAGUUUGGAUGCUCAGUUUUUGAUAUUGGCUUCUGCAUGUCAGUAACCAUGUGGAUUCAUCUGAACCAUGGGGACCAAGGCCUUUGGGAGUUCCUGGCCCACCUUUCUUCCCUGUGCUGCUACCUCCUUGUGGAACCACAGCCCUGGAAGUGUUAUCGGGCAGCUGCAAGGCGUCUCCGGAAGCUGGGCCUCCAUGAUUUUGACCACUUCCGCUCCCUAGCUAUCCGAGGUGAUAUGGCUAAUCAGAUUGUGCAGAUCUUGACCCAGGACCAUGGCAUGGAAUUAGUAUGCUGCUUUGGCAACACCAGUUGGGACCGAAGCCUUCUGCUCUUCAGAGCAAAACAAGCCACAGAGACUCAUCCGAUCCCUGAAUCACUGAUAGAAGAAGGGAAAGAAAGGAACAGAAUAAGAUUCUGGAGACAAUGAGAUGGGAGGGAGGAUAGAGAUAUUGAAAGAGGUUUAUACAAAGAAUUAAGUUCAUUCUCCUUAACUCCUGAUAGUUAGGCAGCUUUAAAACUUGGCAGAAGCUUUUUAAAUGUCCAGGACAUGCAAUUAAAAGAAUCAGUAUCUUCCUCAUUUGGGGGGAUGAUCCCUGAGGAGAAUAUACCUGUGAGGCAAUGAUCUGUCCUAUCUGGAAUGACCUAGAGAAAGUGACCCUGGUUCUGGGAUAUGCAAGGGGCUGCUUUUGGUGGUUAUUUAGGAAGACUUAGACCAGGUUAGCCUUAGAAUGUCCCUUCCCUGGGCUCCUUAAAUCUGAUCUGCCUUCAGGCUUCUUCUAGACUUAUUCAUCCUGUCUAUGAGACAAAACCUCACAAUACAAUCUGGAAUGAAAAGUCAUUGGCCUGGCUAAAGGAGAAGCUUUGGUAGGAAGAACAUCUUUCCAGAGCAGGUCAAGUUUCCAACAUGCCCAGGCUGAGCACAGCAGUUACAGAUACAGUACUAACCAAGAUGCAUCGACUAGCAUUUAAAAGAUGUUUAAAAGAUUAAAUUAUGAACUCAAAAUCCAACCGGUACAAAUGGGAUGAAUGAAGUGGGAUUGUAUAGAAUAUAUACAAUUAUAUUUUAUAUAUAAUAAAAGUGACUUGAGUAUGGUUGAGAAUGCCCUGUGAAUCUGGAGUAGGAAAGAAAUUUCUGCCUUUAACCACUCUACCCAUGGAGGUUUCAACUCAAGAAAAGGAACCUCACCCAAGCUCAAAACAGAAAACAUGCAAGCGACAGGAACAGGAAACUAACACAGGGACUCUGACUACAAUGAGACUAGGCUACAAGCCAAGCAGCACCAGUCUCAAAUAACUCCUGAUGGCAGAAAACAGCCACAGUGACCAAAGGAAUAGGCUGGGCUCCAUCUACAUGGGUAACUGAGGAAUCUUCGAUCAGUAAAAGCUUCGGGAGAUCCUUCAGCAUCUGAACCUGACCUCUUCCCUCCAACAUUUCUGUUGGCUGAGCAGUUACCUGACGUGUUGGGAGGAACUGUUGUAUUUGAAGUCUGUUGCUGUUAGUUUCAAAAAAGAUGUGUAAAUAGUGCUUAUAACGAUGAGGUCUCGGUACCAAGAAGGUAAUGAUUGUGUAAUGGCCUAGGAGAGCCGUUGGAGAUGGUAAGAAUAUCUUUGGCUUCAAGAAAAGAUCAUCUUUAUCUAUCCUCAAAACAGCCUAAUUUGGGAACCAACACCAAACAUGACAAGAGACUUACUGAGGGACAAGAAUGAAGAAUGGUCCUGGAUAUACUUUAAAUAUAUAGAUAUGUAAUCCAGUAUAUUAAAAAAUUAGCAUUUCAA